GGGGGCGAGGAUGAAAAGGGAAUCAGGUGCAAGACCUGAACAGUACCCGCUGCUGUGAGUUCCCCGCAACACGACACUUCGUUUCACACAAGCCACUGGCCGCACAAGUUGACAGCUACACUCUCUAUAAGUCGACUGCAUCGGGCCUGGGAAGGCGUGAAACCGAAGGGAACAAGUCAGAAGACCUGCCUUGAGCGCU
rnacentral:ncRNA from 1 species